rnacentral:misc_RNA from 1 species
AACAAGGCGUACCUGCGGACCUGCGGAGGGAUCAUUACCGAGUGUGAACCCCCCUGUAAAAAAGAGGGGUUACCUCCCGUCCUUUGCUGGGAACCCCUUUCCAACUUGGAAGGAGGUUGUUUUCAGACCCUUCUGCUUCGGUGGGGUAACCCACCGGAACAACCUCAAAAAUAUUCUCAAUUCAAAACCGUUCAGUCCGAGAACUUUUUUGAAAAGCGAAAAAACUUUCAACAAUGGAUC